GCUCCCAAGGUGUAGUUGUCACUGCGCUCGCCUUGCACGCGGGAGACCCGGAUUCGAUUCCCGGUGGGGUCA
rnacentral:tRNA from 1 species